GAUGAAGAACGUAGCGAAAUGCGAUAAGUAAUGUGAAUUGCAGAAUUCAGUGAAUCAUCGAAUCUUUGAACGCACAUUGCGCCCCCUGGUAUUCCGGGGGGCAUGCCUGUUCGAGCGUCAUUACAACCCUCAAGCUCUGCUUGGUAUUGGGCCCCGCCAGUUCUGGCGGGCCCUAAAGUCAGUGGCGGUGCCUUCCGGCUCCGAGCGUAGUAAUUCUUCUCGCUCUGGAGACCCGGUUGUGUGCUUGCCAACAACCCCCAAUUUUUUAAGGUUGACCUCGGAUCAGGUAGGGAUACCCGCUGAACUUAAGCAUAUCAUAGCGGAGGA
rnacentral:misc_RNA from 1 species